CUGCUGAAACAGUAUUAAAAUUAUGUCUCUCAAGUUAAACAUCGACGUUGUAGUCGUGUUCUAUUUUGCUUCUCUGAGUGCUAUCACUGCACAAUAUUCAGUGAGUGUGGAGAGACCAUGUCCAAUGGAAACAGUCACUUUCACUUGCACUGCUGCUGGAGAUUCCUUGAGAUGGAUACCAUCAGAUACCUCAGCUCCCAUCACCGUUCGCAACACCAUUGAUCUCAAUGUAUCACUAAUGCAAUCAGGUUACACUGUGAAACUAACUGCAUUCAAUGACACUAGCUUAACAUCUACUCUAUCAAGAACAGCAGAGAACGGGAUCACUGUGAUGUGUGUGGAGUUUGUCCCUGUAAGCAAUAUAAGAUCUUCAACAAUUAAUUUGGUUGAUGCACCAGGACCACCUUCCAUCAUAAGACACUCCACUCUGAGCAACUCAGCCAAUAAAGUUAAUGUGACUAUUGGUUGGGACCUUCCUGCUGAGACUGGUGGUAGAGAUGAUCUCACCUACUCAGUGACCAUCUCACCUCCGGCCCAGCACUCUGCUACUGUCCUCACAUCCACCUCUGUCACUGUGACUGCUCAAUACAAUGUGAACUACACUGUCGGUGUUGUAACUACCAACUGUGCUGGGAACAGUACAAUUGCUGGGUACAACUUUAGGAUUGUUUCCUGUGUCCUGCCUGCCCCUCCACUAAAUGGAACUUUGCUCAACACAAACUCUCACCUAACUGAGGGCUCAAUCAUUACCUUCCAGUGUGAUCCUGGGUUUUCACUGGUGGGUGCAGCAACUACCACUUGUAACAACUCUGGUCUCUGGAAUCCUGACCUGGCUCUAUUGGAAUGCUCAUACCCAGAAACUGGAAAUGUUGCUGCUGUAGCUGGAGGUGUUGUUGGUAGUAUAGUGAUUGUGGCACUUAUCAUCCUGGUGGUGAUAGUUCUCUUGGUGGUUCUCAGAGAAAAGAGAGAAGAGAGUGUAAGACUUAAAUCAAACGACAGUAUGGAAAUGGAUGAUAAAUUUGAUGCUACAGUGGAGCCGGUAAUCUAUGCUGCCCUUAGCUCCAGCCAGCCCCACAAGAAAAGCAACACGACUGCCACAGUGGACCAUCAUCAGGUGACCUACGCCACUGUAGAUGUCGCUGCCACCUGCAGGAAACAAGCAGCUAAAGCAGCCACCCUCCCCACCAGCCCAACAACCUCAGCCUCGGCAGAUGUGGACAAGCUCCUGGACAUUGACCAGGCCUUGGUGCAGAUCAGGUCAAUGAAGCACAAAUGGAGGGAGCUGGCUGAGACUAUGAGGGUGCCAGAAACAAUGAUUGAACAGGUGGACUUCUACAUCUCCCAGAACCAGGCGGUCAACCAUGCAGUGAGAGAGGCAGCCUGCAUCUGUACUGCAGAGCUGGGCACUAAGGUGAACAAGGAUUGUCUGAAACCAUACAGGGGACGACUGUUCAAUAUCCUGCUUGGAGUGCUGAGUGGUGUUAGACAGAAUAAUAAGUGUGUGUGGUGACCGAGUGUCCUCCCUCCUCCCCCUCUGUGCUGAGACACUCACGACACAGACACUAUCCUCAACACAUCAACCUCCUGGAGACACUGCUCAAACUGAGCAGUGACAAUGCCUGGUGGUGCAGUCUGCUGGAGUGGACUGUCUCACCUCACUCUGUCAGCUGCUAGGGAGAAUGAUCCUCAGAGGGAGAAUAGAACAACACAAUCCAAUGUGAGUCUUCGAAUAAUAUCUAUAUACGUUGCUACAUGACUUAGGCUUGUAUAACCAAUAUUAUUAUGACUUAAGCCAACAACUCAAAGCCUAUAAGACAACUUUCAAAUCAUAUGUAGUGUCAUUCAGGAUUCGUUUGUACGUGUAUGCAUAUUAGACGUUAGACUACAUAUUGGCUGUUUUAGUUGAGAUUGUCUUUGAAGGUGGUUUGACAUAGCGUUCACAGCUUUUACUUUAUGUACAUCACUACAUGCACUGCAUACUUUUUAUUUGGUUUCUUUAUAAAUCAUGUCACCAGCCGAGGGUUUGCACUUUAG